CGUGAGCAAUCUGCCCAUAUCAGGGGGAUAACAGUUGGAAACGACUGAUAAUACCGCAUAAUAUUGUUGGAAGGCAUCUUCCGACAAUCAAAGAUUUAUCGGAUAUGGAUGAGCUCGCGUCUGAUUAGCUUGUUGGUGAGGUAACGGCUCACCAAGGCGACGAUCAGUAGCCGACCUGAGAGGGUGAUCGGCCACAUUGGGACUGAGACACGGCCCAAACCCCUACGGGAGGCAGCAG
rnacentral:rRNA from 1 species